UACGUAGGGUGCAAGCGUUGUCCGGAAUUAUUGGGCGUAAAGAGCUCGUAGGCGGUCUGUCGCGUCUGCUGUGAAAACUCAGGGCUUAACCCUGAGCUUGCAGUGGGUACGGGCAGACUAGAGUGCGGUAGGGGAGACUGGAAUUCCUGGUGUAGCGGUGAAAUGCGCAGAUAUCAGGAGGAACACCGGUGGCGAAGGCGGGUCUCUGGACCGAUACUGACACUGAGGAGCGAAAGCGUGGGGAGCGAACAGG
rnacentral:rRNA from 1 species